AGAGUUUGAUCAUGGCUCAGGAUGAACGCUAGCGGGAGGCCUAACACAUGCAAGCCGAGCGGUAUUGUUCUUCGGAAAUGAGAGAGCGGCGUACGGGUGCGGAACACGUGUGCAACCUGCCUUUAUCUGGGGGAUAGCCUUUCGAAAGGAAGAUUAAUACUCCAUAAUAUAUUGAACGGCAUCGUUUAAUAUUGAAAGCUCCGGCGGAUAGAGAUGGGCACGCGCAAGAUUAGCUAGUUGGUGAGGUAACGGCUCACCAAGGCAAUGAUCUUUAGGGGCCUGAGAGGGUGAUCCCCCACACUGGUACUGAGACACGGACCAGACUCCUACGGGAGGCAGCAGUGAGGAAUAUUGGUCAAUGGGUGCAAGCCUGAACCAGCCAUCCCGCGUGAAGGACGACUGCCCUAUGGGUUGUAAACUUCUUUUGUAUAGGGAUAAACCUUUCCACGUGUGGAAAGCUGAAGGUACUAUACGAAUAAGCACCGGCUAACUCCGUG
rnacentral:rRNA from 1 species